rnacentral:rRNA from 1 species
AGAAUACCAAGGCGCUUGAGAAACUCUGGUGAAGGAACUAGGCAAAAUAGCACCGUAACUUCGGGAGAAGGUGCGCUGCUGACGGUGAAGGCCUUGCGCCGUAAGCUGUUGGCAGCCGAAGUAACCAGGCCGCUGCGACUGUUUAUUAAAAACACAGCACUCUGCAAACACGAAAGUGGACGUAUAGGGUGUGACGCCUACCCGGUGCCGGAAGGUUAAUUGAUGGGGUCAGCCGCAAGGCGAAGCUCUUGAUCGAAGCCCCGGUAAACGGCGGCCGUAACAAUAACGGUCCUAAGGUAGCGAAAUUCCUUGUCGGGUAAGUUCCGACCUGCACGAAUGGCGUAACGAUGGCGGCGCUGUCUCCACCAGAGACUCAGUGAAAUCGAAAUCGCGGUGAAGAUGCCGUGUACCCGUGGCUAGACGGAAAGACCCCGUGAACCUUUACUGUAGCUUCACACUGGACUUUGACAUGAUCUGUGUAGGAUAGCUGGGAGGCUUUGAAGUGGUGACGCCAGUUGCCAUGGAGCCGUCCUUGAAAUACCAGCCUGGUCCUGUCGGGGUUCUAACGUCGACCUGUUAUCCAGGUUACGGACAGUGUGUGGUGGGCAGUUUGACUGGGGCGGUCUCCUCCCAAAGAGUAACGGAGGAGCACGAAGGUGCGCUAAUCACGGUCGGAAAUCGUGAGGUUAGUGUAAAGGCACAAGCGCGCUUGACUGCGAGACAGACAAGUCGAGCAGGUACGAAAGUAGGUCUUAGUGAUCCGGUGGUUCUGUAUGGAAGGGCCAUCGCUCAACGGAUAAAAGGUACUCCGGGGAUAACAGGCUGAUACCGCCCAAGAGUUCAUAUCGACGGCGGUGUUUGGCACCUCGAUGUCGGCUCAUCACAUCCUGGGGCUGAAGCCGGUCCCAAGGGUAUGGCUGUUCGCCAUUUAAAGUGGUACGCGAGCUGGGUUUAGAACGUCGUGAGACAGUUCGGUCCCUAUCUGCCAUGGGCGUUGGAGAUUUGAGAAGAGUUGCUCCUAGUACGAGAGGACCGGAGUGAACGAACCUCUGGUGUACCGGUUGUCACGCCAGUGGCAUUGCCGGGUAGCUAAGUUCGGACGGGAUAACCGCUGAAAGCAUCUAAGCGGGAAGCCUCCUUCAAGAUGAGAUCUCCCUGGAGCUUUAAGCUCCCUAAAGGGCCGUCGAAGACUACGACGUUGAUAGGCGAGGUGUGGAAGCGUUGUGAGACGUUGAGCUGACUCGUACUAAUUGCCCGUGCGGCUUGAUC